rnacentral:rRNA from 1 species
AACGAACGCUGGCGGCAUGCCUAACACAUGCAAGUCGAACGAGACCUUCGGGUCUAGUGGCGCACGGGUGCGUAACGCGUUGGAACCUGCCCUUAGGUUCGGAAUAACUCCCCGAAAGGGGUGCUACUACCGGAUAAUGUCUUCGGACCAAAGAUUUAUCGCCUUUGGAUGGGCCCGCGUUGGAUUAGCUAGUUGGUAGGGUAAAAGCCUACCAAGGCGACGAUCCAUAGCUGGUCUGAGAGGAUGAUCAGCCACACUGGGACUGAGACACGGCCCAGACUCCUACGGGAGGCAGCAGUGGGGAAUAUUGGACAAUGGGCGAAAGCCUGAUCCAGCAAUGCCGCGUGAGUGAUGAAGGCCUUAGGGUUGUAAAGCUCUUUUACCCGGGAUGAUAAUGACAGUACCGGGAGAAUAAGCGCCGGCUAACUUCGUG